GUAACUGACGCUGAGGAGCGAAAGGGUGGGGAGCAAACAGGCUUAGAUACCCUGGUAGUCCACCCCGUAAACGUUGGGAACUAGUUGUGGGGUCCAUUCCACGGAUUCCGUGACGCAGCUAACGCAUUAAGUUCCCCGCCUGGGGAGUACGGCCGCAAGGCUAAAACUCAAAGGAAUUGACGGGGACCCGCACAAGCGGCGGAGCAUGCGGAUUAAUUCGAUGCAACGCGAAGAACCUUACCAAGGCUUGACAUAUACGAGAACGGGCCAGAAAUGGUCAACUCUUUGGACACUCGUAAACAGGUGGUGCAUGGUUGUCGUCAGCUCGUGUCGUGAGAUGUUGGGUUAAGUCCCGCAACGAGCGCAACCCUCGUUCUAUGUUGCCAGCACGUAAUGGUGGGAACUCAUGGGAUACUGCCGGGGUCAACUCGGAGGAAGGUGGGGAUGACGUCAAAUCAUCAUGCCCCUUAUGUCUUGGGCUUCACGCAUGCUACAAUGGCCGGUACAAAGGGCUGCAAUACCGCGAGGUGGAGCGAAUCCCAAAAAGCCGGUCCCAGUUCGGAUUGAGGUCUGCAACUCGACCUCAUGAAGUCGGAGUCGCUAGUAAUCGCAGAUCAGCAACGCUGCGGUGAAUACGUUCCCGGGUCUUGUACACACCGCCCGUCAAGUCAUGAAAGUCGGUAACACC
rnacentral:rRNA from 1 species